rnacentral:rRNA from 1 species
GAUGAACGCUGGCGGCGUGCCUAAUACAUGCAAGUCGAGCGAACAGACGAGGAGCUUGCUCCUCUGACGUUAGCGGCGGACGGGUGAGUAACACGUGGAUAACCUACCUAUAAGACUGGGAUAACUUCGGGAAACCGGAGCUAAUACCGGAUAAUAUAUUGAACCGCAUGGUUCAAUAGUGAAAGACGGUUUUGCUGUCACUUAUAGAUGGAUCCGCGCCGCAUUAGCUAGUUGGUAAGGUAACGGCUUACCAAGGCGACGAUGCGUAGCCGACCUGAGAGGGUGAUCGGCCACACUGGAACUGAGACACGGUCCAGACUCCUACGGGAGGCAGCAGUAGGGAAUCUUCCGCAAUGGGCGAAGCCUGACGGAGCAACGCCGCGUGAGUGAUGAAGGUCUUCGGAUCGUAAAACUCUGUUAUUAGGGAAGAACAAAUGUGUAAGUAACUAUGCACGUCUUGACGGUACCUAAUCAGAAAGCCACGGCUAACUACGUG